UACAGAGGUCUCAAGCGUUGUUCGGAUUCAUUGGGCGUAAAGGGUGCGUAGGCGGUGCGGUAAGUCGGGUGUGAAAUCUCGGAGCUUAGCUCCGAAACUGCAUUCGAUACUGCCGUGCUUGAGGACUGGAGAGGAGACUGGAAUUUACGGUGUAGCGGUGAAAUGCGUAGAGAUGUGGAGGAACACCAGUGGCGAAGGCGACUCUUUGGUCUGUAACUGACGCUGGAGGCGCGAAAGCGUGGGGAGCAAACAGG
rnacentral:rRNA from 1 species